ACCCUACCCCCAAACGAAAUCUAGCCAAUAGCCACUCUCUUCUCACACUCUCGCUCUCUGCACUCUCGAGGCCUGCGGCGAACCCACCUAGCGCCGGUGAGACCGUUCCACCCACCACCUUGCAGCGCUGCCGAACCCUCCCCCUAGCGCCUCCGAACCUUCCUCCCACUGCUCCCAGGACCUCCUCGCGGACAGAGCACAACGAAACCCCAACCCUAGCCAGCAGUGAGUAGCCCAGCACCACCCUCGCACCCAGCAGUAGCACAACACCACCCACUCACCCAGCACAGCACCACGCCACCACCCAGAAGUGUUUCUGGCCACCCACAACUUAGCACCUCCCACCCAGCCACCGAUUCAAGUCAGAUAUGGAGCCGGAGCCACCAAGUCAGGUAUGUAAUUUGACUAAUUUCUGUUUUGAAUUACUGAAAGUGCUUCUGUUUGUAUUGUUGGUAGCUUGGUAUUGUUGGAAAAAUAAUAUAAACUGCUUCUGGUUAUUAUUAGUUUUUUUGGAAGAAUAAUAUAAAAUAAAAAGAAACUUUUGAAGUGAUUUAGUAUGAAAUCCGAUUUGAAAUCAGAUAAACUGGUUUUGGAUCUUGAUAUGAAAAUAUUGAAAUUAGAUUUGAAGCAGAUUUGAAGAAUUAAAUUUGGAGCAGAUUUGAAAUCAGUGUAUUGUUGCUAAUUGCUGGUUGAAUUACUUUUGAUGAAUUACUUUAUUGUUGGUAUUAUUGCUGGUUGCUGGUUUUGUUGCUGAUUGUUGCUAGUUUUUAAUUUAUUUGUUGUUGUGUUUUUGCUGGUUUUUAAUUUAUUUGUUGUUGUUGACAAGUAUGGAGCUUUCAGGAUCUUUAUCUCCUUUUGUUGCCAAUAUGACAGCUCUGACUAAUAUCUGGCUUGGGAAUAACAGUUUGUCAAGGCACAUUCCUGACCUAAGUUCACUAAUACUGUUAAUUAGAAACAUUGUAAGUAACUCAUUGUGUAUGCAAUUCCAUGAUCUAAAUGUUUGAAAUCAAAGAACUUUGAUGUAUUCAUGCCAUGAAGCUCACUAUUUAGAUAUUAUUAUUGUAUAUAAAAGCACUUGGAAGACAAUCAAUUCGACGGAGAGAUUCCUUCAUGCCUAGGGAAUAUAAGCACUUUGCAUAAAGUGUAAACUCUGUCCUCUUUAUACAAGAGAAUUAAACUGGUUUUUUGUGCUGUU